rnacentral:rRNA from 1 species
CAGCAGCCGCGGUAAGACAGAGGAUGCAAGCGUUAUCCGGGAUGAUUGGGCGUAAAGCGUCUGUAGGUGGCUUUUCAAGUCCGCCGUCAAAUCCCAGGGCUCAACCCUGGACAGGCGGUGGAAACUACCAAGCUGGAGUACGGUAGGGGCAGAGGGAAUUUCCGGUGGAGCGAUGAAAUGCGUUGAGAUCGGAAAGAACACCAACGGUGAAAGCACUCUGCUGGGCCGACACUGACACUGAGAGACGAAAGUUAGGGGAGAAAAUGGGAUUAGAUACCCGUGUAGUCCCUGUCUCUUAUAC